AUGAGUUAAGUAUAAACCCCUUUACAAGUAUCAAUUGGAGGGCAAGUCUGAUGCCAGCAGCCGCGGUAAUUCCAGUUCCAAUAGCGUAUAUUAAAGUUGUUGCAGUUAAAAAGCUCGUAGUUGGAUUUCUGUUAAUAAUUUAUAUAUAAUAUUUUACGAUAUUUAUAUAAUAUUAACAUAAUUCAUAUUACUAUUACAACUAGUAUAUGAAAUUUUACUUUGAGAAAAUUAGAGUGCUUAAAGCAGGCAUUUGCCUUGAAUACUCCAGCAUGGAAUAACAUAAAAGAUUUUUAUCUUUUUUAUUGGUUCUAAGAUAAAAAUAAUGAUUAAUAGGGACAGUUGGGGGCAUUUGUAUUUAACAGUCAGAGGUGAAAUUCUUAGAUUUGUUAAAGACAAACUAGUGCGAAAGCAUUUGCCAAGGAUGUUUUCAUUAAUCAAGAACGAAAGUUAGGGGAUCGAAGACGAUCAGAUACCGUCGUAGU
rnacentral:rRNA from 1 species